rnacentral:rRNA from 1 species
AUGAAACUCGUAAGUUGGAACUUCCGGGGACUCGGGAACGGCCCGGCAGUUCAAUCUCUUCUCGAGCUGGGAAGAAUGGAGGAGCCGAACAUUUUAUUUCUAUGUGAGACUAGAAUGAAGGAGAAGGAUUUGGGAAGGUUUAGGUGGUCGUUGGGGCUCGCCAGCAUGGUCGUGUUGAAGGGGGAAGGGAGUGGAAGAGGGGUGGCGUUGUUCUGGAGGAAGGGAGUCGAUGUCACUCUAUGA